rnacentral:rRNA from 1 species
UACAGAGGUGGCGAGCGUUAUUCGGAAUUAUUGGGCGUAAAGGGCGCGUAGGCGGCUAGACAAGUCUCGGGUGAAAUCCCUCGGCUCAACCGAGGAACUGCCCUGGAAACUGUCUGGCUUGAGGCCGGGAGAGGGUAGUGGAAUUCCCAGUGUAGCGGUGAAAUGCGUAGAUACUGGGAGGAACACCGGUGGCGAAGGCGGCUACCUGGACCGGUUCUGACGCUGAUGCGCGAAAGCGUGGGUAGCAAACAGG